rnacentral:rRNA from 1 species
AGAGUUUGAUCAUGGCUCAGGACGAACGCUGGCGGCACGCCUAACACAUGCAAGUCGAACGGAGAUGAUUUGAGUUUACUUAGAUCAUCUUAGUGGCGGACGGGUGAGUAACACGUGAGCAACCUGCCUUUGAGAGAGGGAUAGCUUCUGGAAACGGAUGGUAAUACCUCAUAACAUACAGAUACCGCAUGGUGACUGUAUCAAAGAUUUAUCACUCAAAGAUGGGCUCGCGUCUGAUUAGAUAGUUGGUGAGGUAACGGCUCACCAAGUCGACGAUCAGUAGCCGGACUGAGAGGUUGAACGGCCACAUUGGGACUGAGACACGGCCCAGACUCCUACGGGAGGCAGCAGUGGGGAAUAUUGCACAAUGGAGGAAACCCUGAUGCAGCGGCGCCGCGUGGAGGAAGAAGGUCUUCGGAUUGUAAACUCCUGUUGUUGAGGAAGAUAAUGACGGUACUCAACAAGGAAGUGACGGCUAACUACGUGCCAGCAGCCGCGGUAAAACGUAGGUCACAAGCGUUGUCCGGAAUUACUGGGUGUAAAGGGAGCGCAGGCGGGCGAUCAAGUUGGAAGUGAAAUCCAUGGGCUCAACCCAUGAACUGCUUUCAAAACUGAUUGUCUUGAGUAGUGCAGAGGUAGGCGGAAUUCCCGGUGUAGCGGUGGAAUGCGUAGAUAUCGGGAGGAACACCAGUGGCGAAGGCGGCCUACUGGGCACCAACUGACGCUGAGGCUCGAAAGUGUGGGUAGCAAACAGGAUUAGAUACCCUGGUAGUCCACACCGUAAACGAUGAUUACUAGGUGUUGGGGGAUUGACCCCUUCAGUGCCGCAGUUAACACAAUAAGUAAUCCACCUGGGGAGUACGACCGCAUGGUUGAAACUCAAAGGAAUUGACGGGGGCCCGCACAAGCAGUGGAGUAUGUGGUUUAAUUCGACGCAACGCGAAGAACCUUACCAAGUCUUGACAUCCUGCGACGGACAUAGAAAUAUGUUUUUCCUUCGGGACGCAGAGACAGGUGGUGCAUGGUUGUCGUCAGCUCGUGUCGUGAGAUGUUGGGUUAAGUCCCGCAACGAGCGCAACCCUUAUGGUCAGUUACUACGCAAGAGGACUCUGGCCAGACUGCCGUUGACAAAACGGAGGAAGGUGGGGAUGACGUCAAAUCAUCAUGCCCUUUAUGACUUGGGCUACACACGUACUACAAUGGCGUUAAACAAAGAGAAGCAAGACCGCGAGGUGGAGCAAAACUCAGAAACAACGUCCCAGUUCGGACUGCAGGCUGCAACUCGCCUGCACGAAGUCGGAAUUGCUAGUAAUCGCAGAUCAGCAUGCUGCGGUGAAUACGUUCCCGGGCCUUGUACACACCGCCCGUCACACCAUGAGAGCCGGGGGGACCCGAAGUCGGUAGUCUAACCGCAAGGAGGACGCCGCCGAAGGUAAAACUGGUGAUUGGGGUGAAGUCGUAACAAGGUA